CCGCACGGGUGAGUAACACGUAUGCAAUCCACCUGUAACAGGGGGAUAACCCGGGGAAAUCCGGACUAAUACCCCAUAAUAUGGGCGCUCCGCAUGGAGAGUCCAUUAAAGAGAGCAAUCUUGGUUACAGACGAGCAUGCGCUCCAUUAGCCAGUUGGCGGGGUAACGGCCCACCAAGGCGACGAUGGAUAGGGGUUCUGAGAGGAAGGUCCCCCACAUUGGAACUGAGACACGGUCCAA
rnacentral:rRNA from 1 species